CAUGGAGUACUUGAUGGCCUCCUGAGCAGUUGCCGGUGGCAGGAAAUCGUUUACGGCGACCUCUUUGUUUUCAUUCUUCUUUCUUCAAAGAAGCGGCGGAUUUCAGCAAGUCGGUGAGGAGAGAGCUCCUUGAGAUCAUUGAAGUGGCGGAACUCGGGAUCAUCAACGCAAACCGCGAUGAUCUUAUCAUCUUUCUCACCCUUUUAUCUUGGAGAAUUACUCCAACUUAAAUGAACAAAAAAAAUUCAAUAGCACCAUGCUCACCUGCAUCAGGACCAGCACAUCCAUUGGAUCCCCAUCUUCGCACAGCGUUCGCGGUAUGAAACCGUAGUUGUGCGGGUACACCACCGAUGAGUAUAGCACCCUAUAAUGUGUACCUUGAUCAUUCCAGUCUUCUUGUCAAGCUCAUACUUCACUUUGCUCCCCUUUGUGAUCUCAACAACCUACAAAAAAAAACAUGUCAGGUCCAGAUGCAUCCUGAAAUAAAUCGCAGAAUGCGCAGCCACGGAUCGCUUCGAGAGCGACGACAGGAUCCGCUCAUUCAGGCAUGGGGUCUUCUU
rnacentral:sRNA from 1 species